GGGGAAUAUUGCGCAAUGGGGGAAACCCUGACGCAGCAAUACCGCGUGAGUGAAGAAGGUUUUCGGAUCGUAAAGCUCUGUUAUUGGGGAAGAAAAAAAGACGGUACCCAAGAAGAAAGUCCCGGCUAACUACGUGCCAGCAGCCGCGGUAAUACGUAGGGGACAAGCGUUGUCCGGAUUUACUGGGCGUAAAGGGCACGCAGGCGGAUACUUAAGUGGGAUGUGAAAUACCUGGGCUUAACUUGGGUGCUGCAUUCCAAACUGGGUGUCUAGAGUGUUGGAGAGGAAAGUGGAAUUCCUAGUGUAGCGGUGAAAUGCGUAGAGAUUAGGAAGAACACCAGUGGCGAAGGCGACUUUCUGGACAAUAACUGACGCUGAGGCUCGAAAGCGUGGGGAGCAAACA
rnacentral:rRNA from 2 species